AGUGAACGCUGGCGGUAGGCCUAACACAUGCCAGUCGAACGGCAGCACAGUAAGAGCUUGCUCUUACGGGUGGCGAGUGGCGGACGGGUGAGGAAUACAUCGGAAUCUACUUUUUCGUGGGGGAUAACGUAGGGAAACUUACGCUAAUACCGCAUACGACCUACGGGUGAAAGCAGGGGAUCUUCGGACCUUGCGCGAUUGAAUGAGCCGAUGUCGGAUUAGCUAGUUGGCGGGGUAAAGGCCCACCAAGGCGACGAUCCGUAGCUGGUCUGAGAGGAUGAUCAGCCACACUGGAACUGAGACACGGUCCAGACUCCUACGGGAGGCAGCAGUGGGGAAUAUUGGACAAUGGGCGCAAGCCUGAUCCAGCCAUACCGCGCGGGUGAAGAAGGCCUUCGGGUUGUAAAGCCCUUUUGUUGGGAAAGAAAAGCAGCAGGUUAAUACCCCGCUGUUCUGACGGUACCCAAAGAAUAAGCACCGGCUAACUUCGUG
rnacentral:rRNA from 1 species